rnacentral:lncRNA from 1 species
GGACUGAGUAACAACACUCUGGACCAGAGGUAGACAAAGGACAGACACAAGAGUAGCUCUGGUCCAGGGCUGAGGGGUAAUAUACAUGUAUAAAGUCAGGUCCAUGAACUAUGAUGUACUCAGCUCAUAUACAUCAACAAUACAGGACCAAAAACAGUCAAAAUAUCAUUCAAGUGUCAUCAUUGAAAGCUAUAUGUUGUGAGAAGACAUUUUCAAAUGACUGUAGAGAGUACAGUAUGUAGGGAAUAUAACAUUACAGGAUGUAGAGUACAGUAUGUAGUGAAUAUAACAUUACAGACUGUAGAGUACAGUAUGUAGGGAAUAUAACAUUACAGACUGUAGAGUACAGGGAAUAUAACAUUACAGACUGUAGAGUACAGUAUGUAGGGAAUAUAACAUUACAGACUGUAGAGUACAGUAUGCAGGGAAUAUAACAUUACAGACUGUAGAGUAGUGAAUAUAACAUUACAGACUGUAGAGUAGUGAAUAUAACAUUACAGACUGUAGAGUACAGUAUGUAGG